rnacentral:lncRNA from 1 species
GGGGGAGACACAAAGUCCCCUUCCACUGUGUGUUGUCUGCUGCCCCAUAGCCACAUCUGGACAUUAUAAAUCACGCGUUGUUGGAGUUCAGCAUUUUCUGAUCUUAGCAACAGCCCCAUUCUAAGCAGAAGGGAACCAGUAUGUUUGGUUCAGCUUAAAAACAACUAAAAUCACAGGUUAAUGGGAGGAAAGAAAAUAACUGUACCAGAGGAAAAAGCAACAGUGGAGCUUUUCUCUACAACCAGUACUGGGCGAGUAACUUUAGAACAUAACAGAACCUGCUUAGAAAAGGUGUGACAUUGCUGCCUUUCAGCAGAAGAUCACUCUGGGUGUUGCAGCUGCUGUGUUCUAGCUCAACUGAGUCUGAUGCCUCCAUCUGCCUGCCUCCUGCAUUCCCCAGCUCAUGGAUCUCCAUGCAAAAUACCUUUAGACCAUUUGCACUAGGAUCUGUCUAAUCUCGUUAGAUUUCUCAUUUUCAGCAUAAUACUGUCAUGGUGCUGUGCACCAGUGCCCCAGAUUAGUGGCUUGUCAGAAUGGUGCCCCACUAAUGAGCUAAUCCAAAUAAUGCUCAAAUCCCAAAUCAGAUUUAAGACGAUCCAGUCUGGGUAGAAUUAGGGAGCAAGAAAUCCUGGCCCAAAGAACAAGCUUUCAUUUUCUUUGUUUCACCUUAAAACAAAAUAGGGGGAGUGCCUGUCAAACUCCAGACUUUUUUUUCCCCUUUGUAUGACAUUAACCUCCAUUACACAAUUGGGAAUAAUAAACAGAAAAGAGUACAUCUGUAUGGAUUGGUAUAAAUUUACCUUAGAGGAUUAGAAAACACAGACACACACACACAUAUGCGAGCUUAAUAUAUUCAGCAGAUCUAUGUCCUUCACAGCUUCUAGUUUUCCUGACUUUCCUGUGAGCUUGACCUUAAGACCUUGUAGAUUUUGAAUCUGAUGUAUUUCAG